UACGUAGGGGGCAAGCGUUGUCCGGAAUCAUUGGGCGUAAAGCGCGCGUAGGCGGCCCGGUAAGUCCGUUGUGAAAGUCAAAGGCUCAACCUUUGAACGCCGAUGGAUACUGCCGGGCUAGAGUCCGGAAGAGGCGAGUGGAAUUCCUGGUGUAGCGGUGGAAUGCGCAGAUAUCAGGAGGAAUACCGGUGGCGAAGGCGGCAUCCUGGACCGACAUUGACGCUGAGGAGCGAAAGCUAGGGGAGCAAACAGG
rnacentral:rRNA from 1 species